AGUGAACGCUGGCGGUAGGCCUAACACAUGCAAGUCGAACGGCAGCACAGUAAGAGCUUGCUCUUACGGGUGGCGAGUGGCGGACGGGUUAGGAAUACAUCGGAAUCUACUUUGUCGUGGGGGAGAACGUAGGGAAACUUAUGCUAAUACCGCAUACGAGCUACGGGUGAAAGCAGGGGAUGUUCGGACCUUGCGCGAUUGCAUGAGCCGAUGUCGGAUUAGCUAGUUGGCGGGGUAAAGGCCCACCAAGGCGACGAUCCGUAGCUGGUCUGAGAGGAUGAUCAGCCACACUGGAACUGAGACACGGUCCAGACUCCUACGGGAGGCAGCAGUGGGGAAUAUUGGACAAAGGGCGCAAGCCUGAUCCAGCCAUACCGCGUGGGUGAAGAAGGCCUUCGGGUUGUAAAGCCCUUUUGUUGGGAAAGAAAAGCAGCAGGUUAAUACCCCGCUGUUCUGACGGUACCCAAAGAAUAAGCACCGGCUAACUUCGUG
rnacentral:rRNA from 1 species